CCUACGGGGGGCAGCAGUCGAGAAUCAUUCACAAUGGGGGAAACCCUGAUGGUGCGACGCCGCGUGGGGGAAUGAAGGUCUUCGGAUUGUAAACCCCUGUCAUGUGGGAGCAAAUUAAAAAGAUAGUACCACAAGAGGAAGAGACGGCUAACUCUGUGCCAGCAGCCGCGGUAAUACAGAGGUCUCAAGCGUUGUUCGGAAUCACUGGGCGUAAGGCGUGCGUAGGCGGUUUCGUAAGUAGGGUGUGAAAGGCGCGGGCUCAACCCGCGGACGGCACAUGAUACUGCGAGACUAGAGUAAUGGAGGGGGAACCGGAAUUCUCGGUGUAGCAGUGAAAUGCGUAGAUAUCGAGAGGAACACUCGUGGCGAAGGCGGGUUCCUGGACAUUAACUGACGCUGAGGCACGAAGGCCAGGGGAGCGAAAGGGAUUAGAUACCCUUGUAGUC
rnacentral:rRNA from 1 species